AAGAACUUAAGUUAAAAAAACUAGAAGACUUCAAACCUUCCAACAAGGGUAUAAAUCCCUUAGCUCUUA
rnacentral:tRNA from 1 species